rnacentral:rRNA from 1 species
GAUGAACGCUGGCGGCGUGCUUAACACAUGCAAGUCGAACGGGAAACCUUUUAUUGAAGCUUCGGCAGAUUUAGCUGGUUUCUAGUGGCGGACGGGUGAGUAACGCGUGGGUAACCUGCCCUAUACAGGGGGAUAACAACCAGAAAUGGUUGCUAAUACCGCAUAAGCGCACAGGGCCGCAUGGUCCGGUGUGCAAAACUCCGGUGGUAUAGGAUGGACCCGCGUUGGAUUAGCCAGUUGGCAGGGUAACGGCCUACCAAAGCGACGAUCCAUAGCCGGCCUGAGAGGGUGAACGGCCACAUUGGGACUGAGACACGGCCCAGACUCCUACGGGAGGCAGCAGUGGGGAAUAUUGCACAAUGGGGGAAACCCUGAUGCAGCGACGCCGCGUGAAGGAAGAAGUAUCUCGGUAUGUAAACUUCUAUCAGCAGGGAAGAUAGUGACGGUACCUGACUAAGAAGCCCCGGCUAACUACGUG